UCCAGGAAUCAAACUUUAUAGGAGGCAGGAACUUUCUCCUACCUGUUUAGGAGGAUUAACCAUUUCUGGGCCCAUGAGGAAAUGGAACUAAAGUGAAAAAAGUGGAAUUCAGAGAAACUGAGUAACCAGGCCAAAGAUCUUACAUCUAAUAAGUGGCUCCAGAGAGGGAAGAGGGACUGGAAAAGGAGUUAAAUGAUUGAUCAUGUCUACAUGAUGAAGCCUCCAUAAAAAUCCCAACAGUGUGGGGUUCAGAGAGCUCCCAGGUUGGUGAACUUGUCCACAAACUGGGAGGGUGACACGCCCCAACUCCAUGAGGCUUGAAGCUCCUGUGCUCAGCACCCUCCCAGAUCUCACCCUCUGUACCUCUUCAUCUGGCUGUUCAUCUGUAUCUUUUAUUUUAUCCUCUAAUAAACUGGGAAAUGUAAGUAAGAGUU